GGUCCUGCCUGGUGAGCGCGCACGCACCAGGCCUGGAAAGGCGGCCUCCGGGAGACAGAAAAGAGGGCAGAAGGGGAGGGAAGAGAAAAGAGAGGAAACAUCAGGGAAGGAGGAGGAACCAUCUUCCUCUCACCCCCUGCCACUCCUAGUCUGUUUUGUAAGCUGAUGUAUCUCAAGGGCCUGGGACAGCACCUGGCACAUCAUAGGCGCUCAGUAGGUUCCCAAAAUGAGACUCCCCAAGAAGAAGGAAAACAUAAACUCACGUCCAUCCUCUUCCAGGUAUAGAAGUUGACCUUGGUGUCUGGGACAGUGAUAUUCUCACUGAAGCUGCAGCCUUCAGCACAGCCCAUCUGAAAUGCACGACCCCCGAGUCAGGCUCCCCGAGGGCCUUACCUAGCUUCCAGGUAUGCAUUAGGGGUACCACUUUUAUCAUUGUUACUGGGGGUUCUGGCUUCCCACCUCCCUGAACCAAGUGCCAGGAAGGGGCUCAGCUUCCUGGAUCUUAGAGGACCCCCCCCCCAGGACUCCUGAGAGUGAGUUCUGUGGAAAGUUUUGUGGAGGGGGCCUCACCGUGACAUUUUCGGCCUCCCUGGCCUCCAGAAUGUACCUCUCCAGGACUCGGCUGUCACAGAUGAGGCGAGGGGGGGCGCCCAGGACUGGGAGGCCCAGGGGAAGCAGCAGCAAAGAUAGCAGAAGCAGCAGGGCAGGACAUUCUAGAAAAGAGUGCCAGGCUGAGUGUGUUUGGAGGAGCAGGUUCACACAUCCCGUUCCUCUGCCCCCAGCUUGUCGCUCCCACCCCGAACCUUCCCAGCGCUCGGGUUCUGCCUCCUUGGCCUUCAUUCAAUCCCCGCCGCCGCCGCGGUGAACACACCCCACCCCCCAAACUACCGGCAUCCCCUUCUCCCGGGCAAACUUCAAUCCCGGUGUGACAGAGGCUUCCCCUCUCGCAGAUCCCGGGGAUUGCUCCAAGACCCAGGUAUCAGCUUCCUCCCCACGCACGGAGCCGCCCCUCUUCCCCCCCGAACCCGCAAACCGCGUCCCCGUGCCCGGGUCAGAUUUCACCUUUUCCCGGCGGCUCCGGGAGCCCUGCCGGCACGUGGAGGCUGCCCCACCCCCCUUGCCCUUCCGGGGUCCUUGGCAAGUUGUCGGUCCUUGAACCCGGCCACCUCGGGGCCACUAGCCCCAGCGGUAAAUUCCUGCUCAAACAGGGGCCCAGGCGGGCGGGGGCUCCUCCAGCCGGCGGGUACUCACCGCACGACCCCAUCUCCGCGCCUCCCCCGGCCCCUCAGCGACCAGGGGCUCGGCCGGCGCCCUUGCCGGGAGCCCUCAUCCCGGGAAGCGCGGCGGGGCAGGGCCGGCCUCACGCCCUGAAGGAAGGGGCCACCGUCCGGGGGCCGCCGAGCCGGGGUCGCGCACAGCGAGCGCAGGACUGCUGGCCACGGUCCGCGAGGACUGGCGCGCGGCGACCGGUCGGGGUUGGCCCGGGGACUGCGGCUCGG